rnacentral:lncRNA from 1 species
GGAGUGGGUUAAGGGCUUUUUGAAAAAAAUACCACAUAAGCAAAGUACCCUUAUCCUCCUGGAAUAUCAAGGGAUGCCUGGCAUCUACAAGACAUCAACUGGCAGUGUGAACCUCAGUCUUCUGUAAGGAAUAUUUUUCUCUUCUUCCCAGUGUAUUUAUUUGUGCAGUCAUUUAUCUUUAUUCAUGUAUAUAUUUAUGUUUAUUUACCAUAUACUCAUGUAGAUCUAUUUUGAACUAUAUAGAAUUGAUACUUCAAUAGUGUGAGGUAGAGGACUAGUUUCAUUCUUUUUAUAAACUGUUAACUAAUUGUCUUAGCACUUUUUUUUUUGGUCUUUUUAGGGCCGAACCCAUGGCAUGAGGAGGUUCCCAGACUAGGAGUUGAAUCGGAGCUAUAACCACUAGCCUAUAUCACAGCCACAGCAAAGUGGGAUCCAAGCUGCAACUGUGACCUUCACCACAGCUCAUGGCAAUGCUGAAUCCUUAACCCACUGAACAAGGCCAGGGAUGGAACCUGCGUCCUCAUGAAUGCUAGUCAGAUUCGUUUCCUUUGAGCCACGAUGGGAAUUGCUGUCUCAGCACUUUUAGAGAAAAAUCCAUCCCCUACCCUCUCAUCUACACACGCUUACUUGCAAUGCCAGUCUAUUCAUAAAAUAUUCUGUUUAGAAAUUAUUGCCAAUCUAAUAAUUAAAAAAUAUACUGAUUAAGUUUUCAUAAAUGAAUUUUUUCAGUUUUUUAAAAAUCUUUUGGAGUUCCCGUUGUAGUUCAGCAGGUUAGGAACCUGACAUAGUGUCCGUAAGGAUGUGGGUUUGAUCCCUGGCCCCUCUCAGUAAGUCACAGAUGCAUCUCAGAUCCCAAGUUGCUGUGGCUGUGUUGUAGACCUCCAGCUGCAGCUCCGAUUCAACCCCUAGCCUGGGAACUUCCAUGUGCUGCAGACAGGGGCCUAAAAAGAAAAAAAAAAAAAUCUUUUAAGCAGAAUUGGGGUUGCUCUCUGAGAUGAACCACAUUCUGCCUAUAGACUGUGUUUCUCUCUAAAGAAACUUGCUUUCACUUAAAAAAAAAAAAAAAUGAAGGAAGGAAUUUCUUUAAAAGUCAAAGGAAAUCAUUCAAGGUAAUGGUAAUUACUAUUGAUUAGCUUACUGUGGGCCCUAUGCUAAAGUUGUCCUCACAUCAUUUUUGCAACAUAGGUGGUUUCCAAAUUGUACAGAGGAGAAAACAGGUUCAGAGAGGACAAAUAAUGAACUUCAAAUCCCAUCUAAUCAGUGGUAAAGUCAGAUUCAAACUUGGGUUUCACUUUAAAGUUUGUAGCUAAUUUCUUCCAGAUGCUAGUAGAAGGACUCUGCUGGCCUUACAGCAUAAUUCUUUUGACUCAAACACAUUUUCAAUGAGUCGUUAAUGUAAACAUUCCAAGAAACAUUUACUAGUUAAGGUAGGUUCUGCUACAGUUGCCUCAGCUACUACUGAUUAUGAAUAAUAGUAGUUUCAAACUGAAAUAGAUGCAUAAUUUAAAAAACCAAGCCUAGUCUGAUUGUUUAUAGAAAUAUUAAGUUGUGCUUGAGAGAGAAAAUGUGACCACUUAUAAAUGAAACUAUUAGAAAGGAUCAAAUUUAAAAACCUACUUAAGCUCUUAAAAUUAUUUUUUGGGAAAGCAAUAAACCAAGUGAAACCAGCAAGUGCAUCUUGCUAUUAAAUGGAGAAUUAAGAUAAGAGAAGAUGGGAAACUAAUUUAUAUGAGCAAUUUAACAUCUUUGAGGGAAUGAGAAGCACACUCUCCUUUGAUAGAUGUUUGAUUUUUGAAAUUUGAUAUGCAGGGCACAUUUUAUUUUAAAGGGAGCCAUAAAAAUUUUAAAUAAAGGGCCACGAUUCCUGGCCAAGGAUCUGUGGUGCUGAUAAAUCUCAUAAUUGGCAAAAAUCUGAUUGACAAGUCCAAAUUCUCAGAAAACAGGGAGCUGUAGGAAAAAAUUGAAGUGCUGUUUACUGAAAAUGGACCUGGAUUAUAUUAUUCUUAGUAAAGUUAAGUCAGACAGAGAAAGACAAAUACCAUAUGAUAUCCUUUAUAUGUGGAAUCUAAGAAAUAAUACAAAUGAAUGUCUAUGCAAAAGAGAAACAAACUCACAGAUACAGAAAACAAACUCGUGGUUAUUAAAGGGGAGAGGAAAAGGGGGAGGGACAAAUUAGGGGUACAAGAGUAACAGUUACAAACUACUAUGUAUAAACUAGAUAAAAAACAAGGAUAUAUAGCACAGGGAAUUAUAGCUGUUUAUUUUUUAAUAAUCUAAAAUAGAGUAGGAGUUCUUGUCAUGGCUCAGUGGUUAACCAACCCGACUAGUAUCCAUGAGGAUGUGGGUUCAAUCCCUGGCCUCAUGCAGUGGGGUUAAAGGUCUGGCGUUGCUGUGAGCUUUGGUGUAGGUCACAGAUGUGGCUCGGAUCCCACACUGGCUGUGGUGUAGGCCAGCAGCUGUAGCUCUGAUUCGACCGCUAGCCUGAGAACCUCUAUAUGCCACAGGUGCAGCCCUAAAAAAAAAAAAAAAAAAAGAAGAGUAUAAUCUGCAAAAAUACUGAAUCACUAUGCUGUACACUGGAAACUAAUAUAAUGUUGUAAAUCAGUUAUAGUUCAUUAAAAAAAAAAAACACUUAGAAUUUUGUGCUUUGUAUGUCUAUUUCUCUAAUUCUUUCUUUUAAGGUUAUUAACUAAGCUAUACAGAUGUUAAAAAUUAUGUAUCUUUAAAAUUUCAACAUAAAAAAUGGAGUUGUUACACAAAUUUCACCAAAUUGUCAAACCAAGUGUGCCCAAAUCACAGACGGUAAGAUAUUGCCAUAUUUGCCCUUUUCCCCAAAGUCAUGAAAUUUAAAAAAAAUUAGUAAGGUGUGACUGUAUUUUCAAUGUAUGGAAUAAUACAGUUUAUAAAAACAAAUGCAUUUGAAACCUGACAUCAACAUGAUCCACUUACAGCAAGGGAAUAAUAAUUAAAGAUGAGAAAGAUAUAUAUUAGAUCUGAACUUUGUAUUAAUAACUGCAUUUUUCCAUUUCAUGCUUUUAUUUUUUGCAGUUAAGUAGACACAUUUCAGUAUUACAAAUACUACAUCAAAAAGCAGGAGAUCUCAUCACGGCUCAGCAGAAAUGAAUCUGACUAGCAUCCAUGAGUAUACAGGUUUGAUCCCUGGCUUUGCUCAGUGGGUUAAGUGAUGUAGGUUGCAAAUGUGGCUCAGAUCUGGUGUUGCUGUGGCUGUGACAUAGGCCAGCAACCACAGCUUGGAUUCAACCCCUAGCCUGGGAACCUCCAUGUGCCGCAGGUGCGGCCCUACAAAAACUGAAACAAAAAACCAACCUCCCGCCAAAAAAAAAAAAAACAAAAACCCAAAAGCAUUAUUCUAUUACAUAAGUGGUUCUUGCACUUGUUUUUAAAUACCUGGCUAUUGAAUUUUUAUUAACUAAAUUAUGUUUACUCUUCAAUUAACCCUUUAAAAAUAACCUGUUAUGCAAAAUGUCUAAUAUUUUUAAAAAGCAUAUUAGUCUCAAUUUCUUAUGAUGAAUAUUCAUUUACAUACCUUUGUUUAAUAUUAUUUAUUAAAUAAUUACAAUAUAUUAAAAUUAUUUCUGUGGCUUCUCCUUAUUUCCCCUUGCGUAAAGGCUUCGCUAGCCAAGAACAAAAAAAGGCCAUACUCAUAACAUUGAGGUCUUUAAUUUUGGUAGGUAAAAGUGAAGUCAAAAAAAAGGUUUUAACGUCUCUGAGAGUUGAGUUAGAAGGGAAAUAAUAAUCUAGAAAAAUAAAAUAAAAUUGCAGAUGUGAAUGAAAGUAAAAAGCUUUAUAGGAGAUUACCAGGAUAGUGUUGUCAUUAAAUCAAGUAGAAUGAAAAUUACCCCAAAUGCUUUGGGAAGGUUGUUCUCUUGGGCAGUUCUUAUAAAUGAAGUGUCCUUAUAAAUGAAAGGAGGCAGGGAUGUCAAGGUUAGAGAAGCAGUUGUGACCAUGGGAGCAGCAGUCUGUGCUGUAUUGUUGGCUUUGAAGAUGGAGAAAAGAGCCAGGAGCUUGGGAAAGCCUCUAGAGACUGAAAAAGUCAAGGAAACAGAUUCUUCUCCGGAGCCUCAGAAAACUCACAAACACACAAAAACAUACACAUAAACACACACCCAUACAUGAGCAAACACACGCACAAAUAUACACAUAAACAUACUUGUAAACGUAUAUAUAAACACACACACACACACACACACACACACACACACAGCCCUGUGGCUAUCUUGAUUUUAGCCUAGUGAGACUCAUAUCCAGACAUCUAUUCUAUACAACUGAAAGAUAAUCCAUUUGUCUUAAGUCACUAUGUUUGUGGUAAUUUGCUGUGGCAACAACAGGAAACUAAUAUGAAAGGCACAGAUUUCAUAGAAAUAUGAAUUUUUUUUUAAAAGCAGAAACCUAUGAUAACAGGAGAAAGAAAUCCCUAGAGUAUUUCUAAGAAAAUAAUUACAGUUCUCCCCAAGCCAAGCAGCAGAGAACACUUCCGCUCUUUGAUGCUGCAAAUAUUACUUACAAAUGCUUUCUUACUGAUGCUCAGUUUCAGAUUCUGCAAAGGUUUUAAAUAUCUUUGGUUCCAUUUUACAGUGAAAUUCAUCUUAGCAGAAAAAAAAAGUCCAUGGCAUCAAACAUUUACCGAGCAGCUGCACAUAUGCUAAACCCCGGGGAUAGCAACUUAAGACCGUGUCCCUUAUUCCCUUAUUCCCUUAUUUUCAGGUAUACAAUCUAGUACAGUGUUUUGUUUUUGACUAUGACCCGUAGAAGAAAAUAGAUCUUUCCAUGGCAACCCAGGAUACCUAUCUAAGACUGAACCAAAGCUUGAUACAUUAAUCUUUUCUAUUUUCUUCUAAUCUAUUUCAUUAAAAAGCACUACAUAGAAACAACUCAAUU